UAACACUGAGGUUCUUCCAUAUCUCCUAC
rnacentral:piRNA from 1 species